AAGAAACUGUCUGAGUUGGAGCCCUUCACAGACUACAACUGUACUGGUCAGAUCAAGAACAACAAUGUCUUCAUAAAUGAGACUCAAAGCAUUAGUGUUAAUAUUAAGUGUGGUUUUACUAUAGCCAUAAAUACCAGCACAACCAAUACGUCCAUUGAACUGAGCUGGACAACAACUACUGACAACUGUCAAGAUGUUUUUCACACAUUUGAGAAGCUCUCAUACAGGUGUAGAUGUCAUCCCUCCAAAGAGAACCCCAGUGGAACACCAACUGAAGCCCCCACAAAUCAACAUGAUAGAGGGACGUGUAAGUUUAUUGGACUAAAACCAUACACCGAUUAUACUUGUGAAGUCCAACCAACCUACAACAAGCAAGUCACUCAGCGAAAAGAAUUCAAAGAGAAAACCAAGCCUGGAAGUGAGUGACACUGUCGUCGUUCAAUUCAUCACUGGAUUAAAAAAUGUUGCUUUAGAAAUACACAACCCAGAAGUUAAUUUACUUCUGAUGCACAAGAAAUGAUGCUUAUCAGACUGGCGAGAGCUAAAUGGCAUGAAGGGUUCUCUCUGAGGGAAAAUAUGAUUUACGUUUUCAUUCUUUUACAGUACCAGAGGAUAUUAAGGAAGUGAAUGUGAUACUCUUCGCAAAUACCCUUAAUGUAUACUGUUCUACAUACCAGCAUGUUUUCAAUGGACCCGAGAAAAUAUACAAAGCUGAAGUUGUUGACUUUGAUACACAGAAGAACAGCGACUGUCGCUUUUAUUUCAAAGAUCUGGCGUACUUUAAAAACUACACAUUGAAGGUGACUGCAUACAAUGGACACUUUGAGAGCAAAGUGGCAAUCAGAUAUCUCUACGAUGACUCUAUCAUCAAUGUGAUAGUCGGCUUCACCAUCGUCUCACUUGAGGUGCUGCUUGUGGCGGCCUACGCAAUCUAUGUUUGGAGGCACAGAAAGGUUCUGAAUGAAGAUACAAAGCUGAAAUCAACAGCAAUUUAUGUCCUCCUCCUGCCUGUGGAAGACCCAACGGAGCCCGAUGAACAGACUCUCACAGACUCCGAAGUUAUGAAAUGUUUGUUUUUGUUAUGAAAGUGACUGAAGCAGCUCUGAAUAUGGCGCCCUGAACAAGCAAUGAUACCUCAUAUAUUCAUAGAUGAUGCUACUUUAGCAACUAGAAUCACUGACGUAGUUUUCUGCCUCGAAGCAUCUGAUCAAUCUUAUAACAAGGAUCUUUAUGAGCACACUGUGUAACCAAUGAGCUUCUUAUCCAUCUCCCAUGUAUCACCUAGUAUCCUGUGACAUUGUUUGCAUCACAUUUAAAUGCGUUAUCCUGAUGUAUGUCUGAAUUUAUUCUGAUUCUUCUGUCUCUCCACUGGGUCAAACUCAAACAGAUGUGUCCCCCGUUCUGCUCGAGGUUUCUUCUUGUUAAGAGGGACUUUUUUCUUGCCACAGUGGCUUCAUUGCUUGGUCUGUGGGUUUCAGGCUUUGGGUUCUGUAAAAGCUCCUGAGAUAUAGGUGUAUAUGUGUUACUGAGGCCAUGUAAA